UACGGGGGGGGCAAGCGUUGUUCGGAAUUACUGGGCGUAAAGGGCGCGUAGGCGCCUGCUAAGUCGGACGUGAAAUCCCUCGGCUCAACCGGGGAACUGCGUCCGAUACUGGCGAGGCUUGAAUCCGGGAGAGGGAUGUGGAAUUCCAGGUGUAGCGGUGAAAUGCGUAGAUAUCAGGAGGAACACCGGUGGUGUAGACGGCUUUCUGGACCGUAACUGACGCUGAAACACGAAAGCGUGGGUAGCAAACAGG
rnacentral:rRNA from 1 species